rnacentral:misc_RNA from 1 species
AUUUUCUGCACCAUUUUCUUGCCACAGGAAAUUAACCUAAACCAUCAUCAUCAGAAAGUAAAUUGUUAUUGUUAUAACUUUUUUAUAUGAUCUUGCCAUUGAUGUGAUGUACUGUACAGCAUUAAUUUGUUCUUUCAGUUUACCUUCAUCGGGGCAUACAUCAAUGGGAUGAAGAAGAUGAUGAGGAAAUAUUUGAAAUUGCAACUCCUUGAAACAAAUGUGAAAGAUAGUUCCCCAAAUCAUCUGAACCAAACCUCACCAACAACUCCAAAUUCUUCUCUCCACUCAACAUCACAAUAUACCUUUCAUAAAAUUCUGUAUAAUCUGACACAAGUUUUUUAGCUAUUGAUACCUUCAAUUCAUCCCUUAACUUCCCAUCUGGUACAAUCCAUGAUGCCUGUUUCUUGUAUGCUUCUUCAAAAGCUGCAUUAAACCUCCGAAAACAUUCUCUUGCUGUUUCAGGUGAUAGUUCUGGAGAAGUUCUCUCUGGUAAAGAUGAGAAGACUUUUGCCCAAGCCAUUGUUUCAUAGUUGGCUGCAUAUUGUUUAACCUUCUUGGCAUGCUUGAUGACCCAAUCCUCACCUAGCAGGAUCUUAAGGCGAGUAGUGCAGACCUUUUCAAUGAUGAAUUGAAGAUUGUUUGCCAGGAAUAGAUAUGAUAAAGAAACAUCUUUGUAUACUUCUGCUUUGCUAUCAAGCUUGCAUAGAAGAACUAGUAUGAGCCAAGCAAUGCGGACUGAGAUUGCUGUGGUUGAACCAUCAUCAAAGGUUGGACUCUCAAAGUAAGAUUCAGGCAAUGGUGAAUUCCCCGACGGAGUAAUAUCCGUGACGAUGUCAGAGAGAAUCCCAACGUAAUCUGCAAGCGCAGAUAUGUAAUUCAUCACUCUUUGAGUCAGCGGGUGAAUACCACCACCAAGAACAGGAGUUUUUGCUGAGUCCUUUUGAAUUGUUGAUUCAAAGUCAGAUAGAAUAGCCUGGACUGACUCACCAAGUCUCUGCAGUGAAGAAAAAGCUUGUAAUUUAAUUGCUGAGGUUGAUUCAGAGUUGAAUGUCAGUUCAAUCUCAGGCCAAAGAUUGGAGAGAGCUCCAUGGAGUUCCAUUAGCAGGAAAAUUCUUUCUGGUGUUUUCUUGCUCUUGGCGAUGAGUUCAGGAAAUCUGAACAGAUUUGUUGCACCUUCUUUGGUUAUCUCGGUGAAGCAUGAUUCUCUGAUAGUCUGAGAUGCAGAAAAAACUAGAUCACAUAGAGCUUUUUCUCCACUAAAAAGUGUUUUCACAGCAAUCUUUACUGCAUUCCGCCAGUUCUUGAUCAGAUGCUCAAGAACUUCCCAAUUCAUUUUUUGAAUUUGAGAAGACCCGAACCUUUCAACUCCAAGCAGAUACAGUCCUUCAUUUACUAUGGACUCUCUGAUCAAUUUGUAUAUUUUGAUACACUCUUUAGCGUAGCCUGCACCUAUCAUACAAUCAGCUAUUGACUUGAGAUCAGAAAUGGCGUUUGUAGCCUCUCUCACAACCUUAGUGAUUGAUUCACCAGCUAUUUUAAUCUCUUCUUCUGAUUCAACCUCAUCUUCGUAUUCAGAAUUGCUCAAGCCAUCUGAAGAUAGACCUGAAACAGACUCUGGAUCAAGUUGGUCACGAUAUGCAGACAAUAUCUGAUAAAAUUCUUUUUGAAGCCUUUUCAUGGCUAUUUCCAUGAGGUUUUGAGCAAGAACAAGCUUAUCAGAGGCCGAAUGUUCAGAAACUAGAAAGUGCAUGGCUCGGCGAAGUUCUUUGACACUUUUGAGGAACUCUUUUGCUUCUUUUCUCUGGUGGAAUAAAUGAGUGAUUGAUGAUGAGUCUGGAUCCCAUUUCUUGAUGAUUAACUCUGCAUUUUCUAUGUUCUCUUCCAUCAUGGAUUCAGUCAAAUUGUGGACAACAGGAGAGGAAGGAAUGGAAGAGCUUGGAAAAGAAAGAGAAGAAGAGAGGGUUUUUGAGGAUGACAAGAAGAGAGAUGAAAAUCCUUUUCUUGCCAUGAAUGUGUGAUUAGUAUUUGGUGUCCUCAAGAGAAGCAUUUAUCUUGAAAGGAUGCAAGUUUAAAGACAAAGCUCUAAUUAAUCACUCCCCUUCAUUGGCUCCGUUUUUUCUGAGUUUUCAUUAUGAAGGGGAUAUAUAUAGAGAAAGAAGAGCCAUUGAGUUUCACAUUGAGGAUGGUG